UACGGGGGGGGCAAGCGUUGUUCGGAAUUACUGGGCGUAAAGGGCUCGUAGGCGGCCAACUAAGUCGGACGUGAAAUCCCUCGGCUUAACCGGAGAACUGCGUCCGAUACUGGAUGGCUUGAGUUUGGGAGAGGGAUGCGGAAUUCCAGGUGUAGCGGUGAAAUGCGUAGAGAUGUGGAGGAACACCGAUGGCGAAGGCAGCCCCCUGGGUCAAGAUUGACGCUCAUGCACGAAAGCGUGGGGAGCAAACAGG
rnacentral:rRNA from 1 species